GAGGCAACCGCAGUGUUGACCGGUGAUACUCUAAAUAUUCAAUAUUAAUAAAAAAAUUGUUUAGUGAAGUGAGAUGUGAUUGUGUUUUGUCAGUGAUUAUUUAUAAAUAGUGCUUAAUUAAAUAUUAAUAGAUUGUUUACAAUUAAUUUAUGUAAAAGGCACAAUGUGGAAGUCAUUAUUUUACGUACUGGCAACCUCAUGGCUCGUGAGCUGCUUGCCUCCCCCACACCCCGCCGUGAUUCAAGUCAGGCAGGAAGAGGAGUUUCUGCCACAGCACCUUCGAAGUAGGGCUCUCUACAACCCUCAUCUUAGAGAAGUCCUACCGCUGACCAGUUUGCUCCACAAGGGAGAACAGUUGGUGUACGAAAGGGAAUCGGACAAAGUGCCUCGCAGCAAGAUAUACAACCUUCUGACUCACUCUGGGCUGGUACCUCGUCAGUUCCACCAGCCUCCCCAGUCCCAGUUACACCAGUUCCAGCCAGCGCCGCAGUUCCACGCACCACAGUUCCACAGACCACCGGUCUUCCACGAUCCGCCCUUCUUCCCCAACCCAGAUGUACUACAACGUCUGUAGAUGUUCGAUAAAAUCAAUAGGUUAUUUAUAACAAGUAAACCAUAUUUAGCAAUUAUUGCUCUAAUAGUACCAUUAACCUACAUGUACCUACUUAUUUUUAAGUGUUAAAGUAAUAUGUUGUACAUACAUA
rnacentral:misc_RNA from 1 species